CAAGAUGCUUAAAAGUUUACCCCACUUUUAAGUAGACAAAGGCACUUUUCUCUCUCACACUGCUUCUUCCACAAGCAAAUUACAACUUGUUUUUAUACCAAUAAACGCCUUUCUUCUCACCUUCAUCAGGCUCCACGUAAAUGCACUCUUUUGCUUCUCUCCACAUUGCCUUCACAACCGGGGUCCCAUCAAAGUGAUAGUAUUGGCCCAAAAUUGGCUUGAUUGCCUUGGUUGCUUCCAUGGCAUGGUAAUGUGGCAUUGUGGACACCAAAUGAUGAGCCACAUGAGUGUCCGUAAUGUUGUGGAAGACCUUGUUCAAGAUGCCGUAGUCUCUGUCUACGGUUGCCAAGGCACCUCUUAGCCAGUCCCAUUCGGAGGAAUCGUAAUGUGGCAGUGCUGUGUGAGUGUGUUGAAGGUAUGUGAUUAGGACGAGGAAUCCAUUUACGAUCAGAAGUGGAACUCCGUAAACACAAACCACCCAAGCCAAUCCUUUGGCUAGAACAAGGCGGUAGAGCCCAUAGGUGACAGUUAGCAGCCCAGCGUCCGAAAUGAAUAUCUGUAACCGCUCACGGUCAGUGUAGAUGGGACCGUAUGGGUCAUAGUGGCAGGCAAAACGGUCGUAGGGACGGCCAGAGACGUUGAAGGCCAAGUAAAGAGGCCAGCCUAGGACCAGUUGGAUGGUGAGGGUGAGGACACGGCCUACAGGGUUGUUGAUGUAUGUGGAGUACCAUUUCAUGUCGGAUUUCUGUUUAGGGACAAAGACUUCAUCUCGUUCAAGAGAUCCGGUGUUGGAAUGGUGUCGACGGUGGCUGUAUUUCCAAGAGAAGUAG
rnacentral:lncRNA from 1 species